rnacentral:rRNA from 1 species
UACGAAGGUGGCAAGCGUUGUUCGGAUUUACUGGGCGUAAAGGGAGCGUAGGUGGUUAGGUAAGCCCUCCGGGAAAUCUUCAGGCUUAACCUGAAAAGGUCGGGGGGGACUGCCUGGCUAGAGGACGGGAGAGGAGCGCGGAAUUCCCGGUGUAGCAGUGAAAUGCGUAGAGAUCAGGAGGAAUACCGAUGGCGAAGGCAGGUCCCUGGGUUAACACUGACGCUCAUGCACGAAAGCGUGGGGAGCAAACAGG